rnacentral:tRNA from 1 species
GGUAGUGUAGCUCACUGUUAGAGCACUUGCCUGAUGUGCAUGAGGCCCUGGGUUUGGUCUCUAGCACUAUAA